rnacentral:misc_RNA from 1 species
UAGUAGGUUCAUUUUCCUCUGGCAUCACAUAUGCAGUUCCAAUGCAAUAAUACACAUUACUAUCAUCAGAAAAGGAGCAGCUUAGUAUGGAACAGCCAUAUUCAAAUUGGUCAAGGGGAUAUGUUGAUAUGAACUCAAAUGUCUGAUCAUCCAACAGGCGGACAAAAUGCAUUUCAGGAUCAUCUGCAUUUGACUGAGUAUACUUCACACUGCAUAGAGCAAAUGUCCGGGUCUGCUCUUGAUGGCUGAUGCGACGUGCAUGCUCCCCAAGGGGUAUUGAACGAAUGUGAAGCUUUUGAAUUUCAUCAAUAGUGCCAAUUGUUAACUCACCUUCUUUAGCGAUUGCAAGGCUGUCUGGAAAAGCUGCAACAUUGAAUGGGCACAUAUGACUAACUUCUUUUAGAUUUACAUUGCUAUAAAGCAGCUUCUUGUUACUGCUGUAAAUAACUGUUGGCCUAUCGGAGGCAGCAAAGACAUGUGUAGUAUCUUUAGAUGAGAAUGUACGAAGUGUUAUGGGCUGUGUCCCAAGAGAAACUUUUUUCCUAUCUGUCAGCUCACCAGUACUCAUGCUCAAUACAAAAUUCAAGAGAUGGCCAUCUCCCAAAGCACAUAGUAGAUAAGAUAUCCCUUCGAAGGAACACAUCAGAACAGAACGAGGAAUUAUCUCCCCUCCUAGCUGUUCCUUUGUAAUGAGAUUCAAGUCAGGAAGUGAAUAUAUCCUGACACUUAUGUCUGUCCACAUUCCAACUGCUGCAAUGUUACUGUAGUUCGGAUUUUCACCAAUUGGAUUUAUGUCCAGGCACGAGAUAUCAUAAUCCAACUUGGCAUAUUUUACUUCAUUCAACACCCCAUCACCAAUUUCUAGGUAUACCAGAUGGCCACCCCCAGUAGCCAAUAGUACCUGAGUGGCAUUAGCAGUUGCAACAUUGACCGAGUAGCCGACUGGGGCAAACCACUCGUUUUUCAGAUCUCUAGAGGUAGAACUGACCAAUCUAACAGAAUUUGAAGUAACCUGAACAAGCUGGUUGUAUACAGCAUCAUGACAAAACAAGGUCUGGACUUGAGAAUUGAAGCCUUCUAUCUCAGUUUCUUCCAGCUCAUCCUCAAGGUUCAUAGCCAAAACGCGUGUCUCACUAAUGAAGCUAACAACCAAGAAUGUGUCAUAUGGAUCAUCAGUAGCAGAUCUAAGAGACCACAUUCCUUUGAUCCCUUGUAGUUCCACAGACGCCUGUUCAUUUAUGCCAAUUCCAUUUCGAACAAUACGAAGUGAUCCAUCCUUAUAGGCUCCAGAGCAAGUUACAACCUGA